CCUACGGGCCGCAGCAGUGGGGAAUAUUGCACAAUGGGCGCAAGCCCGAUGCAGCCAUGCCGCGUGUGUGAAGAAGGCCUUCGGGUUGUAAAGCACUUUCAGCGGGGAGGAAGGCAUUAAGGUUAAUAACCUUAGUGAUUGACGUUACCCGCAGAAGAAGCACCGGCUAACUCCGUGCCGGCAGCCGCGGUAAUACGGAGGGUGCAAGCGUUAAUCGGAAUUACUGGGCGUAAAGCGCACGCAGGCGGUCUGUCAAGUCGGAUGUGAAAUCCCCGGGCUCAACCUGGGAACUGCAUUCGAAACUGGCAGGCUAGAGUCUUGUAGAGGGGGGUAGAAUUCCAGGUGUAGCGGUGAAAUGCGUAGAGAUCUGGAGGAAUACCGGUGGCGAAGGCGGCCCCCUGGACAAAGACUGACGCUCAGGUGCGAAAGCGUGGGGAGCAAACAGGAUUAGAUACCCUAGUAGUC
rnacentral:rRNA from 1 species